AUUGAACGCUGGCGUCAUGCCUUACACAUGCAAGUCGAACGGUAACAGGUCUUCGGAUGCUGACGAGUGGCGAACGGGUGAGUAAUACAUCGGAACGUGCCUAGUAGUGGGGGAUAACUACUCGAAAGAGUGGCUAAUACCGCAUGAGAUCUACGGAUGAAAGCAGGGGAUCGCAAGACCUUGUGCUACUAGAGCGGCCGAUGGCAGAUUAGGUAGUUGGUGGGAUAAAAGCUUACCAAGCCGACGAUCUGUAGCUGGUCUGAGAGGACGAUCAGCCACACUGGGACGGAGACGCGGCCCAGAAUCCUACGGGAGGCAGCAGUGGGGAAUUUUGGACAAUGGGCGAAAGCCUGAUCCAGCAAUGCCGCGUGCAGGAUGAAGGCCUUCGGGUUGUAAACUGCUUUUGUACGGAACGAAAAGCCCUGGGUUAAUACCCUGGGGUCAUGACGGUACCGUAAGAAUAAGCACCGGCUAACUACGUGCCAGCCGCCGCGGUAA
rnacentral:rRNA from 1 species